rnacentral:rRNA from 1 species
UGGUUUGAUCCUGGCUCAGGACGAACGCUGGCGGCGUGCUUAACACAUGCAAGUCGAACGGUGACCUCGAGAGCUUGCUCUUGGGUGAUCAGUGGCGAACGGGUGAGUAACACGUGAGUAACCUGCCCCAGACUCUGGAAUAACCCCGGGAAACCGGAGCUAAUACCGGAUAUGAGACGGAGAGGCAUCUCUACCGUCUGGAAAGUUCUUCGGUCUGGGAUGGACUUGCGGCCUAUCAGCUAGUUGGUCGAGGUAACGGCUCACCAAGGCGACGACGGGUAGCCGGCCUGAGAGGGCGAUCGGCCACACUGGGACUGAGACACGGCCCAGACUCCUACGGGAGGCAGCAGCUGGGGAAUAUUGCACAAUGGGCGAAAGCCUGAUGCAGCGACGCCGCGUGAGGGAUGAAGGCCUUCGGGUUGUAAACCUCUUUCAGCAGGGCAAGAAGCGAAAGUGACGGUACCUGCAGAAGCAAGCACCGGCUAACUACGUGCCAGCAGCCGCGGUAAUACGUAGGGUGCGAGCGUUGUCCGGAACUUAUUGGGCGUAAAGAGCUUGUAGGCGGUUUGUCGCGUCUGCUGUGAAAAUCCGGGGCUCAACCCCGGACUUGCAGUGGCGUACGGGCAGACUAGCAGUGUGGCUAGGGGAGACUGGAANUUCCUGGUGUAGCGGUCGCAAAUGCGCAGAUCUCAGGAGGAACACCGAUGGCGAAGGCAGGUCUCUGGGCCAUNGUAC